GUCUUAUUUAAUUGAAGUCUAUCAAUCACUCUUUCGACCUCAUCUAUCGUAAACUCAUAAUUAAGUUGGGCUAACUCUUGAUUGUUAAUUUUUGGAAUAUCAAUAUUAUUCAAAUAUUGUUUAAUAUCUUGACUAUCUGAUGAUGUAUCCAGAUCAUAUAGUUUGCUGUAAAAUUCAUUAAAUAGUUGCCCAAUUUUUUCUGGGGAGGAGUAUGUAAUUUGAUCCGCGAC